rnacentral:SRP_RNA from 1 species
AUCGAGGCAAGUAUGCACCCCGAACCGUGUCAGGGUCGGAAGGCAGCAGCACUAAGGAGACCGUAUAUUGUGCCUCACCUUU